rnacentral:rRNA from 1 species
UACGGGGGGAGCAAGCGUUGUUCGGAUUUACUGGGCGUAAAGGGCGCGUAGGCGGUCAGCACAAGUCGGUUGUAAAAUCUCCGGGCUUAACUCGGAAAGGUCAACUGAUACUGUGCGACUAGAGUGCAGAAGGGGCAACUGGAAUUCUCGGUGUAGCGGUGAAAUGCGUAGAUAUCGAGAGGAACACCUGCGGCGAAGGCGGGUUGCUGGGCUGACACUGACGCUGAUGCGCGAAAGCCAGGGGAGCGAACGGG